rnacentral:rRNA from 1 species
UAGGGAAUCUUCCGCAAUGGGCGAAAGCCUGACGGAGCAACGCCGCGUGAGUGAUGAAGGUCUUCGGAUCGUAAAACUCUGUUAUUAGGGAAGAACAAAUGUGUAAGUAACUAUGCACGUCUUGACGGUACCUAAUCAGAAAGCCACGGCUAACUACGUGCCAGCAGCCGCGGUAAUACGUAGGUGGCAAGCGUUAUCCGGAAUUAUUGGGCGUAAAGCGCGCGUAGGCGGUUUUUUAAGUCUGAUGUGAAAGCCAACGGCUCAACCGUGGAGGGUCAUUGGAAACUGGAAAACUUGAGGGCAGAAGAGGAAAGUGGAAUUCCAUGUGUAGCGGUGAAAUGCGCAGGGAUAUGGGGGGACACCAGUGGCGAAGGCGACUUUCUGGUCUGUAACUGACGCUGAUGUGCGAAAGCGUGGGGAUCAAACAGG